GGCUAACGCUGGCGGCGUGUCUUAGCCAUGCAAGUCGAGCGGACUUAUGGGGUAACUUAUAAGUCAGCGGCGGACGGCGGAGUAACACGUAGCUAACCUACCCUCUGGACGGGGAUAACCUACCGAAAGGUGGGCUAAUACCCGAUGUAGUCAUCCUGUAUAGGGGUGAUGAAAGGUGGGCUUCUGUUUACAAGCUCAUGCUGGAGGAGGGGGCUGCGGCCUAUCAGGUAGUUGGUAGGGUAAUAGCCUACCAAGCCGAUGACGGGUAGCCGGCCUGAGAGGGUGACCGGCCCGAGGGGCACUGAGAUACGGGUCCCACUCCUACGGGAGGCAGCAGGCUAGAAAUUUGGGCAAUGGGGGAAACCCUGACCCAGUGACGCCGCGUGCAGGAAGGAGCCCUUCGGGGUGUAAACUGCUGUCGUGUAGGGAGAAGGGUACUAAGGUGAACAAUCUUAGUACUUGACGGUACUACAGGAGGAGCCAGGCUAACCUCGU
rnacentral:rRNA from 1 species